ACCUCCUCCUCCUUAUAUCUGAAACUGCUUCACCUCCCACCAUCAGCGGAUAAGCAAAUAUGAUCUACAGGACUGGAUCUCUCACUAUUUAGGUGAAGAGUCUCAGUUAAGGAUCUCUGGAGAUCAGACACCAGCAGAUCCUCCUCCACCAUGUUCUCUCCAUCAUCUCUACUGCUCCUGCUGGCAGCUGCUUCCUGUGGACGUUGUGUUGAACUGAAUCAGCCUGGAUCCAUGACGGUCCAACCAGGCCAGGUUCUGUCCAUCAACUGCAAGCCUUCGUAUUCAGUUACGAGUUAUGAUACAGCUUGGAUCCGACAGGCUGCAGGAGAAGCUCUGGAGUGGAUCGGAGUUAUCUAUCCUAGUGGUGGCACAGCUUACAAUGAUAAACUGAAAAAUAAGUUCAGCAUCUCCAGAGACACGAGCAGCAACACCAUAACAUUACGAGGCCAGAAUGUACAAGCUGAAGAUUCAGCUGUGUAUUACUGUGCGAGACUCACAGUGAUGCUGAGUAGUGGAGUCACCUCACAAAAACCAUCUCAAGCUCUCAGUGUGAACCAGACACUAUUUCAGAUGUAA